UCCCAAGAUCUCUUCCUGAACAGGAAAUUUCCUGUGGUCCAACAGACAUUCCUCUCAGCACUUAUCACUCUCUUACAUUUGUUUUGGCAGAUACUGAGUCUUGGCCUCGUGAUUGGCCAACGGUCUAGAAGUCAACUUGAAGAAACUAAAAACUCCAGUCCAACGAAGCCUACAGAAAAGAGACUUUUGAGGAGACGUAAACCCACAAAGACAAAGACAACACAAGAAAUAACAACCAGGCCUGUGGAGAAGAAGAAAGGGAACAAACCAGAAACAUGGAGGCAGACCAGUCAAUGGAGGCAGACCAGUCAGUUAGUGGUGGUCUAUGCAACAGAUCCAAGAAAGAGGAAUGCUAACUGUCCAGUCAUGACAGCAGAGAGGUAACUGCAGGUUCACAUGGCAAGAUCUUAAGGGGACGGGGGUUUGGUGGCACCAGUCACAUCUGGAACACCUGGAGUCUGGGUUCCUUCCCUAUCAUGGCAGUUACAGCAUGUGCUCUGAUCCUAGCAGAACCAGACGGAGCUGACAGGAGAAUCACUGGGUGGGGUUCACUGGGACUUUACAGACGGAGACCAAAAGAACACACGUGUGAUGACCUCCUGUCUCUGUUUUCCCGCUGCUCCUCGAGGAAGUCAACAGACGUACACAGCCACCUUUGGGGAAUCUGCAUAGUCAAGCUCCAAAUCUGCUGGCAUUUACUUAAUGGUGUCCCAAUAACAUGCACAUGUGGGUCAUCUUCUCCAGGGGUAGCCCAAAGAUGACCAGGAUUUUCAAUUAGGGCCUGCGGCUCUGUUAACUUGAAAUGGGGAUAGAGGGACACAGAGCACCAGGUAUUGAGUUAAAACAGAGUAGAGAGUAAACAAAAGCCAAACUAGAGGUGUAUGUGUCCUGAACUCCAGCUCCUGGGAGUUGAGGAAGGAGGAUGCAUGGUCAAGGCCAGUCUGCGCUACACGGUUUAACCUGGUUUCAAAAAUACCAACAAGAGAAGAGAGAUUUGUGUGGGGAGAGGGGUAGAAGGUGAUGAAGGAGAGGGCAGAGUGAGGGAUAACUAACACUGUGGAUGUUAAAAAUGCCAUAUAGGAAUCUACUGUUUUACAGGAUUCAUUGCAGUUUUACACUAAAAGAAGUUUAAUUUUGAGGUCAUCCAGCAUGGGGGAUAAUGCUUUCCCCAGAAGCUAUAGAUUGCCAAGUAAAAGGCCCAGUGCUGGCUAUGCUGUGGGACACUCCCUCCAGUUGUUGGCUGGGGGUACGCGAGAGACUCCCAAAACAAUACAGGCUAUUCCCACUGCUCUUAGUCACCCACCACAUGCUGAUGGUAAGACCCUAGUGCUAAAGACAGCAUGGAAUUUGGUCAAAGACAGAGAAAUCAGGCUGGUACUAAGCUCUGAGGUUCCUCAAGGCAAGCUUUCAUAGUAAUAGCAGGUACUGCGUUGGCUGCCGUGGAGUGGGAAGGGUCACUGACGGUGACACCCAGCUGUGAACCAGUGGGCAAGAAAGGUCCAUGGGGACAACAGUGUCAACACAUGUUAUAAACAAUGAUUUAGGAUUGAAUUGAUUAAUCUGAGAGGAAUAGGAAGUGAAUAUGAGCAAGAUACUUCAUAUAAAGUUCUCAAAGAAUUAUUAUUAAAAAUGUCUCAAUUGAAAAUAUCAACAAAGGUUGGGGAGAUGCUUCCGCUGAUAAAGAGCUUGCUGUACUAAAAUAGGAGCCAGAGUUCAGAGUUCCAGCACCCACACAGAAAAUGAACAGUCAUGGCAGACUGCCUGUGAUCCCAGCACCUUGGGGCAGAGACGGGAUGUGCUGGUUAGCUCUUUGUCAACUUCACUUAAGCUAGGAAGAAAGACCUUCAACUGAGAAAACGCCUCUAUCAGGUUGGUCUGUAGACCAGCCUCUAGGACGUUUUCUUGAUUAAUGAUUUCUGGAGAGGGCCCAGUCCUGGAUUAUAUGAUAAAGCAAAUUUAGGGAGCCAUGGGGAGCAAGCCAGUAGGCUGCAUGUCUCUAAGAUUUCUGUUUCAAUUCCUGCCUCCGGCUUCCUGUUGUGAGCUCCCGACUUUAUUUCCCUAGAGAUGGACUGGGGACAUGGAAGUAUUAACCAAACAAGCCUGUUCCUCCCCAAGCUGCUUUUGGUCACAGUGUUUGAGGACAAGAACAAAAACUGAACCAUAACAAAGGGGUUCUGUGACAAGCUGGCUAGGUAGAGUAGGUGAUUCUGUCAGCUCUGGGUUCAGUUAGAGACCUGCCUCAGUAUAUAAAGAGGAGAGCAAUCAAAGGGACAUGUUGAUAUCCAACUCUGCUCUCCACUCAUACGUACAAACACACAGGCACUUACAAAUGUGUGUCCACAAAUAUGUGAUCAUGCAUGCAUGUUAAUGUGUAUAAACACACACACACACACACACACACACACAAAUCAAUGACAAAGACAAACAAAAUCCUCCAAAAUAAAACUCAGUGGAAGUGUUAGAAGGAAAGGGAUAGCGAGUCUCCCAAACAGGAAUUUAAAAAACGCAGGCUAGUUGGGCAGUGGUAGUGACACAUCCCUCUAUCCCUAGCACUUGGGAGGCAGAGGUAGGUGGAUCUCUGUGAGUUCAAGGCUAACCUGGUCUACAGAACCAGUUCUAGGACAGUCAAGGUUACACAAAUAAACUCUGUCUUGAAACACCAACCAACCAACCAAAACAACAACAGCAAAAACCAAAUACACAGGUUAAAAACUGAAGAGCAAAGAUAAGAAAAUAAUAGCACCAAGCAACCUUCUAAUAAUAACCAUUGGGCGGGGGAGGCACAUACAUGAAAUAGCAAUAAAUAUCCUAGGAUGGAAGGAAAUGAAUCUCCAAGUUAAAAGGGGCAUUCCAGAUUAGGGCACACUAUCCUGACCCUGUAGAACUUGGGGACUGAAUGUUCACAUAGGACAAACCAGCAACCAAGAAAUUAAUUCACACAAAGACUUAAGGUUAUAAAUAUGGUCACACGAUGGAGCAAUACCUUCACAUUUGUGAGAAAAACAAGGUCCUGUCUGAACCCUAUUACCAAUCAAUGGGGAGACCAUAUACAAGAGUCAAAAAAUGUGCUCUCUUCCCACUUCUCAGAAAGCUAUUGGUAGGUUUCCUCCAUUGAAUCAAGAGGACAAGCUAGCAAGGAAGAAAGCGAGGCUCUGAGAAAAGAGACUCAAACGCAAGAGUCAAGCCAAGUGUAGGAGGGUCCAAGGGCUGGUAUCUUGGGCAGGCGGGCAGUUCCAGGUUAGGCUUUAAGAUUUCUAACACCGGCUACAAUGAGAACCACUUUUGGACCCCCGAGAACACUGCAUACACAAGGUACACAGAUACACAUGCAGGCACAUAAACACAAACCAUCGUACACAUAAAACACAAAUAAAUAAAUCUGAUGAAAAACCAGUGGAAAGACUUGAAAGAGUUCACCAAAAUGAAAUCAGAGGGGCUAAAGUGGGAGAGCAUGAACGUUGUAGAGCGAUUACAUUCUUGACCUGCCAUAUACAGUCAUAAUCCUCACAAGUCCACAUGAUGCUGUCCCGGGAGACAGGACAGCUCAGAGCAAAGGGGACCACGAAAUAACAAGGACACAUUUGCAGCUUCUCAAGUGCACCAUGACAACACCGUGCUUCCUACAUCACUUUUUAUAGGUGGUGGGGUUUUUUUUUGGGGGGGGGCGGGGGCUGGAUUGCUAAGCUUUGGUUACACAAAGGAGGUGAAAUAAAAGAUCCUCCCUCCUCAAAAACGUUUUGAUUACUAUCCACGCUCAAGUCUUAGGAGAGCAAGAUCUUUUGAAACAAUCCAUUUGAGAACAUUUUGUGUGGAUGUUGGAGUGUUAGUACAGCCCCACGAUAGGCACAGACUUCGAGGUCCUCUGCCCCGUGGAAAAGAUAACAAAUGAACUGGGUGAGGACUCGGGGGCAAUUUAAUUCCAGCCAGCUUUAGUCUCUUAGGAGUGUUUGUCUAAGAGAGAGGGGCUGCUGUGUAGAAAGCAGGCGUGUAAUGUUUUCUUAGUGCACUUUUCUCCAGCAAUUAAGGCUCCACCCCCAAGAGCAAGGAGGAAGAAGAAAUGCAUUCGAGAAGUCACACAGGAGAACUCACCAGGUGCUCUUUCUUUGCACCGGAUGAUAUUUUUGGUUGGAUUAAAAAUGAUACUCCCCCCCCGCACCCCCCCUCAAGCUGAGAACGGAAUCCAGAGCUUUGUGCACGCUGAGCACACUCUACCACUGAGUUACACUGCCAGCCAUGACAUAAGUCAGAAUCGACAGCGCUUUGACACAAACUGGAACAUAAGCUGUGGCCCUCUCGCUUGCACCAAAGCAACAGUUUCAUGGACUUCAAUUCAUGAAAAGCAAAAUUUCAAGAAAAUGCACCUGGGCCUUCUGGCUCACUACUCGGUUUUGACCAAAUUGACUGUUAAAUUCUCUGAUCUCACCUUGAUCGUUUGUAAAAGAAAGAGGGAGAGGCCCAGCCUCUUCGAUACCUAGAGCUUCCAAUUUAUAACACUCAUUUAUUCUUUCUGUUUCUGAUGUGGGAAGGUAUCUGCCCCAGCACGCAUGUGGCACUCCCAGGUCUGUGUGGAGUGAGAGCUCCCAUUUCGCUGUGGGUUCUAAAGAUCAGACUCAGGGCUUCAGGUUGGGUAGAAAGCUCUGUCACCCACCGAGGCACCUUAAGAACCUGGCAUUUCCUGAAGAUUUCUUUUUAUUUUUUAAAAUGCAGGUAUGCAUGCAUGUUUGGGGGUGUGUAUGCCAGUGAGACCAGAGCACUUGCUCUCCUGGACCUGGAGUUACAUGUAGUUGUGAGCAGCCUGGUGUGGAUACUGGGAAUAAGGUCUGGAUCCUCUGUAAUAGUGGUCCAUGUUCUCAUCCAUGGAUCCAUCUCUCUGGUCCCCAGAAACCUUACUUUAGAUCAGAAACAUAACAUGACCACAUAAUACAAUUUUAAAUGAUUUUAUUUCCAGAAUAAAAAGGGGGAGAGAGACAAAGUUGAUAGUACCUUUAAUAAAACAUUCCACUUAUACCCAUAUAUUGAAAUUUGCAUCAUUUAAACAAAAUAACUUCAAUGUGAAGUUAUUAAUGACUUUAUUUAUUUUAUUUACUUAUAUUUAUUUAUUUAUUUUGAGGCAGGGUCUUACUGUGUAGCCAUGGCUGUACUGGGUCCCAUUAUGUAGACCAGGCUGGCCUUGAACUCACAGAGUUCUGUCUGCCUCUGCCUCUCAAGUGCUAGGAUUAAAGGCAAGUUUUAAUGUCAAGGUUUUAGGGACUUGUGGAUAAUUUAUCCUCACAGUAGAGAUCAAUGAAUAUGAUGAGUGCUGCCAUCAAUAUCCCCGUGAUGGGAGGCACAGCUUUAGCUCUGUCUCUGCCAGACAACACUCAUUCUAGAGCAGCAUCAAGCAAGCCUUUUACUCUCAGAUCAGUCACUCCAGCCACAAACAGCAGAGAAAACUCACGCCUCCUCAGCUGGCUUAACUUUACAAUGCUGUCCUCGAAUUCAGAGUAGAGAAGCUAGCUUCUGCCUCCACUCUCCUUUCUGUUCCAGUCUCCUAGGGUUCCUGGGAAUACUAACACCUUUUGGCCUCAUUCAGGUCACUCAAGCGGGUGAUCCUGGCAUCAGUGUCAGUCAAAGAGGGCGUGAAUCAGAGGAGGAGACACCCAGGACUUCCGGGAAGUGGAGAAUGGGGUCAUCUGUACAGGGAGAGUUCUAGAAGGUCUGGUAUCUGUUCUCUCAACAUGAGCCACUCCCCUCUGAGAUCAUCCUUCCCCUCACAGCUCUUCCCAAGCCAGAGAGAUGCUGCAGCAGGCCUAGACACAGGCAAGUUGUCACUGCAAUCCUAUUCCAGAAGAGUCGCGAGCAGUCACAGACCCAGGGUGUUCCACUUCCUCUUCCAGCUGCCUUCGUGCAAGGAGUGAAAACCCGUGUCCUGACUCCGGAUGCACAAACACGUUCACUAUCACUAGCAAGACAGGUGUGGUGGCACACACCUGGAAUCCCAGCACUGGGGAGGUUGGGGCAGGAAGGCUGCCGCAAGUUCAAAGUCAUCUUGGUCUAUUCGUGAGUAGCAGAGUCAGACUGGGCCACACAACUAGACUAUCUCAAAAGAAUAAAGCAUCAAGCCCCUCUAUAUGAGCACGGAAGGUCUGCUAAAGAAUUCUUUUAGGAUUCUUAAAUAUAUCAGGGAAUAGCUGGGGACACUGCCCCAAUGGUGGUUGCAAUGUGUGAGCCUCGAGUUAAAUUCAUAAAAUAAUCUUUGGUCUGAUGAGGCUAAAUCUGUAAAUACCCUGGCUUUUAUUUUAGAAUUAUGGCAGCCAUAUGAGUUGCUUUUCAACCAUUCCAUACUUAACAGAAGUCCUGAUAAACCUCGUAGUUCAUAAGUAUUUAAUUAGGUAGAAGUAGAACAACAAAUUAAGUUCGUCUAUUUAAUAAAUAUAAAGUUUUCAGUAAAGAAAACACUGCAAAACAUGGGAUACAGGCUUGGAAACUAUAAUAAAAAACCAAGGGCUUGGUACAAAAAGGCCAGAAAUGACAGCCUCAUAUUAACUUCCUCUAAGAAAGUCACACUUGGUGUAGACCAAAGCAUAAAGUUUGGAAUAACAAGAAGACAAACAAAACUGCAUAUCUCCUUAAAAAUAAACAAGAACUAAUAGAACAUAAAAAAAAAAAAAUCUAGAAACGUACGUAGCCUGUCCUCACAUCUCUAGAAUAGCUUUCUGGUUGGGUCUCUGUUUUAGUUUGCUUUCUGGUGCUAUGAUAAAACGCUGAGUACAACUGACUUAAAAGAGGAAGGAAUUUAUACGACUUACACUUCCAGGCCUUAGUUCAUCACUGAGGGAAGUCAGGGCAGGCACUGAAGCAGAAACCAACUAGGAAUGCUGUUUGUUGGCUCGCUUCACAGCUCACUUAGCUUCCAGACCAGAACCACUUGCCCAGGGAAUAGUACUGCCCACAGUGGGCUGGGCCCUCCUCUAUGAAUGAACGAUGAAGAAUAUUCCUCACAGAAAUGCCCACAGACCAAAUCACUUAAUUGAGCCCUUUUAAGUGAUUCUAGGCUGCUUCAAGGUGACAGUUAAUGCUAACUAGGACAGCUUCCAAUUCCCCAUUGCAGGCUACGUGGUCACCUUUUGUAGCCAAUGGCUAUAAUUAUGCAAUGGUGCUUGCUAAAGCAAGUGCCAGAAUUAGAUGCCAGGCACAGAAGGCAUGCUAUUGGCAAUCUCAUUCAUCUAGUUCUCAAGUUCUCAGAAAACUCCAACGUCCAGAGUUACUCAAGAGUUUAAGCUGGAGGGCUGCGAAGAGUGAGCAGCCGGACUAAAAAAAGACACAGAGCCCAACGCAAACCCGAACGCGAGGCUGCUCGACACACUGGGAGCCAAGAAGCCCGCUCAGCGGCUCAGUGACACACUUCUACUUCACACGGAAGCACUUCGAGAAGAUAAGUUGAUAAACAUCUGUUUACUGACCCAAGAACAACUCUGCAAGACUAACCAGAAGGCCUCAUGUUCACUUUGAACAGACUGAUGAAGCAGAGGAGGACACCUGGUGCAGACUCUGAGGCGAGUCAAGCGCUGCAUCUACAUUUCAGCAAACAAUUUGAGUCUGUCUUGACAGUUUCUCGGCGGUUAAACUGAAAUUCAGAAUCCCCGUGCUCAUGUGUCAUUUACAGCAUAUGAGAUCUAUACGUGGCAUAAACCAUAUAAACAGGAUAUGGGUCUCAAUUAUGAAGGCCGCGUUCUAUGCCUACCUGGAAGGCAAUCUCUACCAGCGGGCCACCAGAUGCAUGCAUGCACUAAUCCUGUCUUACUGUCUUUCCUUCAACAAAAUUAACAUUAAAGUACAAAAAGGCAUACUCAUCCGAUCUGGAUCAUAAGGAGAUAGAGAUGGGGUUUUAAAAGGUGGUGUACGCACCUGUAGACCUAGUACUUGGGAAGUUCUGGGCUGCACGGUAAGACUUGUCUCCAAACAAAAACCCCAAGUGAGAUGAAAGGGCAGCAGCCAUAAGGUUAUAAUCACCUCAGUCAGCUUUCCCAGAACUUAACAGGCGGAAUGUUAACCACAGAAGGGGAGGGGUGGUGUUGGGGGAUGGAAGGAUUAGUGAUCAAAGAAUGAGGGAGAAAAAUGAUGACUUCUGGCUAUAGCCCAAGCAAAGAUGAACAGGAGUAUAAUACAGAUACCGAAAUCUAAAGUGUCAGCACGGACUUAUGCUACAUUAAUAACAGGACUAUCUACAUAUUUAACAUGUACUUUACAUCUGUCGGAAGGAAAAAUUACUGAGACAGGUUAGACGCAGAAUUGACAUUCACAUCUCUACCUGACUUCAAGGGUCCCAUCCGUCUGAGGAAUAUAUGUUGAAAAAUCACUUCCUAUUUGGUUCCAUGGGGUAAAUAAAACCAGAACCAAAGGAUGAGGCAUCACCAAGUUCAGAUGAAGACCAAACCAGGGGCACCUACACAGGCCCCUAUCAGUUACCGCUCUGCUCCUGUGAUAAAAUGAACUCCGUGGCCAAAAGCAACUUAAGGAAGAAAGAGCUUAUUUUGGUUUCCGUCCCAGUGGGAUAAAGCCUAUCAUGGCAGGAAGGGCAGGGCAUGUUGGCUGGACCAGGAAGCUAACUGACUUGAGCACAUUUUUGUGUGAACAUAGGAAGCAGAGAGAGGGAGAGCGAGACACAGAGACUCUCUGGAAGUGAGAUGAGGCUAUGCUCCCAACUCCUACUUCUAUAACGAUCCACUUCCUCCAGCAAAGCUCCACUUCUUAAAGAUUUCCUAACCUCCCCCAAAGAGCACCACCAACCGAGGACCAGUGUUGUGUCCGGCCAGCAGACCAGAGGAAUCGGGUCCAUGUCCACCCAAGCCAAGGUUAAAAGCCCACUCAUCUACGAAUGAGAAAAUCAUUUGAUCACCUCAGUUAAGCGUUGCCUUAUUUAACUUAAUCAAUAGGGGGGAGAGAGAUUGGAGACGUACUAUUGAAAGGGCAAGCCCUUCACUGCCUCCCACCCAAAUAAAAAAGCCAAUUGGCCUUGUACUACAAGAGCCAGUCGAACUCCUUCUCCCUGUUUCCCACCUAUCAUCCAAAAAAGCGGAGAAAUAUCAACUUAGUGUUAUUAUAGUGUAUUUCACAUUUGUUCAGUCAAACUUAGCCAGAGUUCCAACGCCCUACUUAAAAUUCAACUAAAAAGUUACCUACCAAGUACUAAUUAGCAUUAUAAAGUCAGAGCCUACAGCUCCAGGCUUUUCAGUUAGUUGUUCACUAAGAUAAGAAAGGACAGUCUUAGCCUUAUACAGUUUACCAUAAGAAAAGUUAAGGAAUCCCAUGAAAACAAGUUUUUUCUUUAGCCCUAGAUUCCAGGCAGAACUAUUGAGCAUAGAUAAUUUUUCCCCCCUCAGGCCAGCUUUUUCUUUUUUUUAAUUUUGUUAAUAAAAGGGAGGAGAUGUAGUCUCCCCUCCCCCAGCCUGAAACCUGCUUGCUCGGGGUGGAGCUUCCUGCUCAUUCGUUCUGCCACGCCCACUGCUGGAACCUGAGGAGUCACACACGUGCACCUUUCUACUGGACCCGAGAUUAUUCGGCGGGAAUCGGGUCCCCUCCCCCUUCCUUCAUAACUAGUGUCGCAACAAUAAAAUUUGAGCCUUGAUCAGAGUAACUGUCUUGGCUACAUUCUUUUCUCUCGCCACCUAGCCCCUCUUCUCUUCCAGGUUUCCAAAAUGCCUUUCCAGGCUAGAACCCAGGUUGUGGUCUGCUGGCCGGACACAACAGACCAGGAGUUUAAAUACUCCUGAGCCUCUGGGGAGCAGCUCUCAUUCAAACCACCACAAGAGGGGAAGGACCAGGGAGUUAAGUUUGAUUUGGGAUGCCAGAGACAGUCAUGGCUUGGACAACAAAUUAGAAUGCAUCAUCUCUGAGUUCUCUCCUCUUAGACAAAUAGCAGAAACGACUAAAGUGGCUCGGUUUUUGUUUAUGCUUUGUGAUUUUUAAAUUUUAAACAAAAUGUACAUAAACACUUCCAAAGAAUUGGAUGCUACAUGUUAAGAAACCAGACUCAUCUUUUUCUUGAAGUGGGUUUUUCCACUGUUCAAGGGUGCAGGAGGGCUAGAAAGCUAAUGGAAUUGGGUAACUCCCUGGGAUUUAUAUCCAAGGUGUUUAUCCUUCUGUUAGGAAGCUGGCGGUCCAAAGGCAAAGAUUGCAGCUUAAAAAAAUUAGGUAGAACAGGGGAGACAGCUCAGCAGGUACAAGUUCUUGCCUUGUUAUAAGCUUGACAACCUGAGUUUGUUUCUGGAGUUUAUGCAGACACCUGUAAUUCCAGCACUUCCAUAUAGUAAGAUGGGCCAGUGAGCCUGGAACAUACAGUUCAGUGGCAGAAACAAGGGAGACUACUUAAAAAACAAGGUAAAAAGUGAGAAGCAACUCCCAAAAGUUGCACACACACACACACACACACACACACACCAAAUACAUAUUUUUUUUAAAAAAAUCAGUGCAUCUGUCAAACUAAGAAAUAACAAUUAUAUAUCCAUAAAUGGAUUUUGUAAUAGAUUAAAAUUUAUAGACUGAUUCAUUAACUCAAGAAAUACUCAUUGAAACAUCUGUGCCAGAAUGAGAGAAAAUGAAUUAUUCCCAAUUAACCCACUUCCUUUGGAGGUAUCAGAUUAUCAAACAUAUAUCCUUGAACACACUAUGCAAGCAUCAUUCCACCUAGCUGUAGUCCCAGCCUAACCCAUUUAUUUAUUUAUUUAUUUAUUUUUGUGGGCUUCUUCAUACAGGAUUGGGCAUCGAUGUAAAAUCAGAAGAGGCUGAAGGUAGCAUACUGGCAAUGCUGCCAACGGCAAAAUGAAUACUACAGCAAACCUUUACUAGAAUAAGGUUUGAUACUGUAUGGAACUUACAGAGUGUGCCCACCUGCUGAGUUACGAAGCACACUAGGCAGGUGACAAAGGAGCGAGCUGAGCUGAUCACACCUCAGUGACUUCUCUUGCUAUCCUUCACCUCUGUGAAAAACACCUCAUACAACGCCCCGAAUUGUCCACACCAAUCAGAUUUUCAAUUAAAAACCCUUAGAAAUGAAUGUUCCCGAGUUCCAUGCUGGUCAGGGUAUCCUAUUAAGUACCAAAGGCUACAUCAUUCAGUGACUAUUUAACAACUUGAGGGGAUUUUUCUACAUGAUGUUAGUUUUCCUUCUGGUUAAAAAAAAAAAAAAAA